GACAGUCUGGUGUUGGAAGAGCAUUCUGAGCUGUAGAUGACAAGCUGACAGAGAUAUUUAACUUCAGUUUCAGUCCUGAGGAAAGCUUUCCUGGAUUUCAGCACCUGUGAGCAAGACAGUUCCUAGCUGAACAUCUUGAACAGGAAGAGUUCCAAUACUGGCUAAUUCAGUUGCUCUUCAGGGGGAGAUUGUGACGAGCAGGCCUGGAUUUCAGAGCGCGCUGCAGAAUCUACUUCUCAGACCCAUUUCUGACCGUGUCUCACUCAUGUAGCAACACCCUUGG